rnacentral:tRNA from 1 species
AUGGUUGUGGCUCAGUGGUAGAGCACUUGCCUAGCAAGUGUGAAGCACUUGGGUGUUCAAUCCACUGUACCAUG